rnacentral:rRNA from 1 species
UACGAAGGGGGCUAGCGUUGCUCGGAAUCACUGGGCGUAAAGCGCACGUAGGCGGCUUUUUAAGUCAGGGGUGAAAUCCUGGAGCUCAACUCCAGAACUGCCUUUGAUACUGAGAAGCUUGAGUCCGGAAGAGAUGAGUGGAACUCCGAGUGUAGAGGUGAAAUUCGUAGAUAUUCGGAAGAACACCAGUGGCGAAGGCGGCUCACUGGUCCGGUACUGACGCUGAGGUGCGAAAGCGUGGGGAGCAAACAGG